rnacentral:lncRNA from 1 species
AAGGGCUCAGGGACUGUGAACUGAAGCGAGCCGUCUGUUUUUCUUCACAGGGAACCUGGCAGUGGACGUUCCUGGGGGUUCUCAUUGGUGCUGGAGGUGAUCGCUCCCCCAGUCAGUGAGGAAGGGGUCCUAGGGACCCAGCACCCAGACCAGCCUCUGAGGACACGGAGCCUGAAGAGGGUCCUCGCCUCACUCAUGGACAGUCACGGUGCUCACUGGAAACGGUUGGAACAGAAGACAAAUGACAGGUGCUGGCUCUUGCAUGAUGACCACGUUCUCCCUCUCAUGAUGGGUACACCGUCUUCAUUUUGAAACCGAGAAAAACAUCAUCAGCUCCAAGAGUGGGUGUGACUGCAGAGCCCGGUAUCCCUCUACCAUAAGGCGACCUUCCAUACCCAGCAGACCUCUCUGGACACUUGGGACCUCAGCAGAGCUGUCUGAAGGUGAAGGUGAAGAGGAGGAGGAGGAGG